UCUCCUUCUGUGUCGGACACAUGUUGGAGUUGUGAAGAAGACAUUUCUGUGUUUAUCAGCAUAAUCAAUCCUUUGUUAUGGUAUUUCAACUAGGUGCCCCUGAAGGGUGAGCAGCUCUGGUCAGGAGCAACAGGACUUUCUUGCUCUGACUUGCUGGCCUGCUAACUCAUAGAAGUGCUAUUUUUCUCCACCUCGGUUAAACUGCUAACAUGUCCCAGCACGCACGAAAUAUGAAGGCUCAAUAAACCCAGAGGGCUCACUGUUAAAUGAGUUCCUGGAGCUGAGCUGAUGCUGGUUGUUGUCAUUAUGCUGGGACCCAGGAGUAAAUGAGCUGUGUCAACAUGUUUGUGAGUGAUUGCCUACUGUUUUCCAUGGAGCAAAAGAUGUAAAAGCCCAGGCAGAAAAGAACUUGAAUCGUUCCCAAAGAAACCCAGACUCUUCUGUUUGUUUCUACGAAUCCUCCAGAAAUGCUUAUUUGUUACUUGACAUCCUGAGUAUGCUGAUAUGGGAACAAACUUACUUGGUCUAAUUUCCCCGAAUUUUCAGCUGAUUUCUGCAUCAAUGUCCGGUUCACUAAUAUUUAAAGAUCUGCCAGCCGCGAAGAGAACAAAAUGUUACUGAUACAUAUGUUAAAGUUGACCAUUUUAAACCAAUUAGGAUAAUCAGAUGAAAAACACCAUGUAAGUUUCAGUCACUGCUUAUUAUUGCUCUUCAGAAGUAUGUUUGGGAAAGAAAAGUAAUCCCUAAGAACAGCUUUUCAGGCCCUUGGUUUUAAAAAUGGAGACAGUGCUACAAUGAUGAGUACAGGACAAAUAUAAUGGACCAGCUAUCCAGACUUCUAAAAAGUUCCUUCCUUCAAAUGACAGCCCGUUUCUUCUCUUUCGUAUUCGCUACUAUUGUUUUGUAAUAUACUAUCAUCCCUACGUUUAGCUGAUUUUGAAAGUUCCCCCCAAGA